UACGGGGGGGGGCAAGCGUUGUUCGGAAUUACUGGGCGUAAAGGGCUCGUAGGCGGCCGCCUAAGUCAGACGUGAAAUCCCUCGGCUCAACCGGGGAACUGCGUCUGAUACUGGGAGGCUUGAAUCCGGGAGAGGAAUGUGGAAUUCCAGGUGUAGCGGUGAAAUGCGUAGAUAUCUGGAGGAACACCGGUGGCGAAGGCGGCAUUCUGGACCGGUAUUGACGCUGAGGCGCGAAAGCCAGGGGAGCAAACGGG
rnacentral:rRNA from 1 species